GGCGUGGUAGCUCAGCCGGUUAGAGCGUCGGAUUCAUAAUCCGGAGGUCGAGGGUUCAAGCCCCUCCCACGCUA
rnacentral:tRNA from 1 species